rnacentral:rRNA from 1 species
UGGCUCAGGAUGAACGCUAGCUACAGGCUUAACACAUGCAAGUCGAGGGGAAACGAUAUUGGAAGCUUGCUUCCGAUAGGCGUCGACGGCGCACGGGUGAGUAACGCGUAUCCAACCUGCCCAUCACUUGGGGAUAACCUUGCGAAAGUAAGACUAAUACCCAAUGACGUCUCUAGAAGACAUCUGAAGGAGAUUAAAGAUUUAUCGGUGAUGGAUGGGGAUGCGUCUGAUUAGCUUGUUGGCGGGGUAACGGCCCACCAAGGCGACGAUCAGUAGGGGGUUCUGAGAGGAAGGUCCCCCACAUUGGAACUGAGACACGGUCCAAACUCCUACGGGAGGCAGCAGUGAGGAAUAUUGGUCAAUGGGCGAGAGCCUGAACCAGCCAAGUAGCGUGCAGGAUGACGGCCCUAUGGGUUGUAAACUGCUUUUAUAAGGGAAUAAAGUGGGAGUCGUGACUCUUUUUGCAUGUACCUUAUGAAUAAGGACCGGCUAAUUCCGUG